UGCAGAGAACUUUCCAGAGAUGGAUUGGUGGCCUUCGGGAACGUCUGACACAGGUGCUGCAUAGCUGUCGUCAGCUCGUGUCGUGAGAUGUUGGGUUAAGUCCGUAACGAGCGCAACCCUUGUCCUUAGUUACCAGCACGUUAUGGUGGGCACUCUAAGGAGACUGCCGGUGACAAACCGGAGGAAGGUGGGGAUGACGUCAAGUCAUCAUGGCCCUUACGGCCUGGGCUACACACGUGCUACAAUGGUCGGUACAAAGGGUUGCCAAGCCGCGAGGUGGAGCUAAUCCCAUAAAACCGAUCGUAGUCCGGAUCGCAGUCUGCAACUCGACUGCGUGAAGUCGGAAUCGCUAGUAAUCGUGAAUCAGAAUGUCACGGUGAAUACGUUCCCGGGCCUU
rnacentral:rRNA from 1 species